UACAGAGGUCCCAAGCGUUGUUCGGAAUUACUGGGCGUAAAGGGCUCGUAGGCGGCCAACUAAGUCAGACGUGAAAUCCCUCGGCUUAACCGGGGAACUGCGUCUGAUACUGGUUGGCUUGAAUCCGGGAGAGGGAUGUGGAAUUCCAGGUGUAGCGGUGAAAUGCGUAGAUAUCUGGAGGAACACCGGUGGCGAAGGCGGCAUCCUGGACCGGUAUUGACGCUGAGGAGCGAAAGCCAGGGGAGCAAACGGG
rnacentral:rRNA from 1 species